rnacentral:rRNA from 1 species
GACGAACGCUGGCGGCGUGCUUAACACAUGCAAGUCGAACGGUAAGGCCCCAGCUUGCUGGGGUACACGAGUGGCGAACGGGUGAGUAACACGUGGGUGACCUGCCCCGCACUUCGGGAUAAGCCUGGGAAACUGGGUCUAAUACCGGAUGGGACCGCACCGGGGGGGGUGGUGGGAAAUUUUUUCGGGUGGGGAUGGGCCCGCGGCCUAUAGGCUUGUUGUGGGGGUAAUGGCCUACCAAGGCGGCGACGGGUAGCCGGCCUGAGAGGGUGGACGGCCACAUUGGGACUGAGACACGGCCCAGACUCCUACGGGAGGCAGCAGUGGGGAAUAUUGCACAAUGGGCGGAAGCCUGAUGCAGCGACGCCGCGUGGGGGAUGACGGCCUUCGGGUUGUAAACUCCUUUCACCAUCGACGAAGGUUUUCUGACGGUAGAUGGAGAAGAAGCACCGGCUAACUACGUG